GGCACUGUGGCUUAGCUGGUUAAAGCGCCUGUCUAGUAAACUAGAGAUCCUGAGUUCAGCUUUCUGCAGUGCCU